rnacentral:tRNA from 1 species
GGAGUUGUGGCUCCAUGGUAGAGCACUUGCCUGGCAUGUGUGAGGCCCUGAGUUUGAUCCUCAGUACCA